rnacentral:rRNA from 1 species
UACAGAGGUCUCAAGCGUUUGUUCGGAUUCAUUGGGCGUAAAGGGUGCGUAGGUGGCGCCGUAAGUCAGGUGUGAAAUUUCGGAGCUUAACUCCGAAACUGCAUUUGAUACUGCGGUGCUUGAGGACUGGAGAGGAGACUGGAAUUUACGGUGUAGCAGUGAAAUGCGUAGAGAUCGUAAGGAAGACCAGUGGCGAAGGCGGGUCGUCUGGACAGUUCCUGACACUGAGGCACGAAGGCCAGGGGAGCAAACGGG